GAUGAAGAACGUAGCGAAAUGCGAUACUUGGUGUGAAUUGCAGAAUCCCGUGAACCAUCGAGUCUUUGAACGCAAGUUGCGCCCGAAGCCAUUAGGCCGAGGGCACGCCUGCCUGGGCGUCACACGUCGUUGCCCCCCCAUCUACUCCUUCGGGAUUGCGGGGGGCGGAUGAUAGCCUCCCGUGCGCCUCGCCGCGCGGUUGGCAUAAAUGCCAAGUCCUCGGCGACGCACGCCACGACAAUCGGUGGUUGCGAAACCUCGGUUGCCCGUCGUGUGCGUUCGUCGCGCAUCGAGGGCUCGAAAAAAUGCUCGGCUCCGGCUGGGCUUUCAACGCGACCCCAGGUCAGGCGGGGUUACCCGCUGAAUUUAAGCAUAUCAAUAAGCGGAGGA
rnacentral:misc_RNA from 1 species